CGGGGGGCAGCAGUGGGGAAUAUUGGACAAUGGGCGAAAGCCUGAUCCAGCAAUGCCGCGUGAGUGAUGAAGGCCUUAGGGUUGUAAAGCUCUUUUACCCGGGAUGAUAAUGACAGUACCGGGAGAAUAAGCUCCGGCUAACUCCGUGCCAGCAGCCGCGGUAAUACGGAGGGAGCUAGCGUUAUUCGGAAUUACUGGGCGUAAAGCGCACGUAGGCGGCUUUGUAAGUAAGAGGUGAAAGCCUGGUGCUCAACACCAGAACUGCCUUUUAGACUGCAUCGCUUGAAUCCAGGAGAGGUGAGUGGAAUUCCGAGUGUAGAGGUGAAAUUCGUAGAUAUUCGGAAGAACACCAGUGGCGAAGGCGGCUCACUGGACUGGUAUUGACGCUGAGGUGCGAAAGCGUGGGGAGCAAACAGGAUUAGAUACCCCAGU
rnacentral:rRNA from 1 species